rnacentral:rRNA from 1 species
AUGCAGUCGAGCGCGAACGUCCCUUCGGGGGCUAUUAGAGCGGCGAACGGGUGAGUAGCAGGUGGAUAACCUGCCCUCUGGUGGGGGAUAACCGCGGGAAACUGCGGCUAAUACCGCAUGUGGUUCUACCGACCCCGGUCGGUGGAAAGAAAGGCGCUCCUGGCGCCACCAGAGGAUGGGUCCGCCCCCCAUUAGCUAGUUGGUGGGAUAAUAGCCCACCAAGGCGACGAUGGGUAGCCGAGCUGAGAGGUUGAUCGGCCACACUGGGACUGAGACACGGCCCAGACACCUACGGGUGGCAGCAGUAGGGAAUAUUGGACAAUGGGCGAAAGCCUGAUCCAGCCAUGCCGCGUGAGUGAUGAAGGCCUUCGGGUCGUAAAGCUCUUUUCUGAGGGAAGAACAGCCUGGUGAGGAAAUGCUCCAGGUCUGACGGUACCUCAGGAAUAAGGAACGGCUAACUCCGUGCCAGCAGCCGCGGUAAUACGGAGGUUCCUAGCGUUGUUCGGAAUUACUGGGCGUAAAGGGGGCGCAGGCGGAUAGGUCAGUCUAAAGUGGAAUCCCGGGGCUCAACCUCGGACGUGCUUUGGAUACUGCCUAUCUUGAGUUCGUGAGAGGAAGGUGGAAUUCAGGGUGUAGCGGUGAAAUGCUUAGAUAUCCUGAGGAACACCAGUGGCGAAAGCGACCUUCUGGCACGAAACUGACGCUGAGGCCCGAAAGCGUGGGUAGCGAACAGGAUUAGAUACCCUGGUAGUCCACGCCGUAAACGUUGUGCACUAGGUG